CGCCACGCCCGCUACAAGAAACGUUAAAGGAAUUGACGGGACCCCGCACAAGCGGUGGAUCAUGUUGUUUAAUUCGAUGAUACGCGAAGAACCUUACCAGGUCUUGACAUCCCCCGCGAUGCUUUAGAGAUAAAGCGGAGGUAUUCGGGGAGACAGGUGGUGCAUGGUUGUCGUCAGCUCGUGUCGUGAGAUGUUGGGUUAAGUCCCGCAACGAGCGCAACCCCUAUUGCUAGUUACCAUCAUUAAGUUGGGGACUCUAGCGAGACUGCCAGUGAUAAACUGGAGGAAGGUGGGGAUGACGCCAAAUCAUCAUGCCCCUUAUGACCUGGGCUACAAACGUGAUACAAUGGCUGGAACAAAGGGAUGCGAAGCAGUGAUGUGGAGCGAAACCCAUAAAAACAGUCUCAGUUCGGAUUGAAGUCUGCAACUCGACUUCAUGAAGUCGGAAUCGCUAGUAAUCGCGGAUCAGAACGCCGCGGUGAAUACGUUCUCGGGGUUU
rnacentral:rRNA from 1 species